UACGUAGGCAGCAAGCGUUGUUCGGAAUUACUGGGCGUAAAGAGUGUGUAGGCGGUGUCGUAAGUUUGGUGUGAAAUCUCCCGGCUUAACUGGGAGGGUGCGCUAAAGACUGCGAUGCUGGAGUAUGGGAGAGGAAAGCGGAAUUCCUGGUGUAGCGGUGAAAUGCGUAGAUAUCAGGAGGAACACCUGCGGUGUAGACGGCUUUCUGGACCAUCACUGACGCUGAGACACGAAAGCGUGGGUAGCAAAC
rnacentral:rRNA from 1 species